rnacentral:lncRNA from 1 species
GGACAGCCGCAUGGCUUGGCACAAAUCUGCUGUCAGACAUCAAAGUUCAUGUGUCCAGAAUGUCCUCUUCACAUAUGUGUCCCAAGGAAGAGAACAACAAAAUCAUCACUUGGAUCCAUGCCUACCCCUCCACCCCCCAGGAAGAGGGACGAAAGACCUCUUUGCCUUGCUUUUAGAGAGUCCCAUGUGGGGCCUUUGGAAUGAAGAGUCCUUCCUGGGCAUUAGAUCAAAGGAGUCAAGUGAGUUUCCCUAAUGCCUUCUGGACUCAGAUGAAGUAUAAAUAAACUAAGAAAG